rnacentral:lncRNA from 10 species
UCUGAUCAGGUUGAAUUUUAUUAUAUUUGCAAGUUUUUGUUGUUGCUUUUAUGGAGGAAGAAAUUUUUAGACAUCCUUCCCUAACCAUUUUCACUAACAUCACGUAACUAAAGAUUUAUAUCUGCCGUAUAAUUUAAUGUUUUUAUUUACUACAAUUUGUCUUUUUUCUUUUUUCCCUUUCUCUCUUCCUUCUCCUUUUCCUUCUCUUCCUCUUUUUCUUUUCUAAUUUCUGUUGCUCAGAUUGAAAUCUCUUCCAAUAGCUCAAAAUUUACAUAUGAUUUUUUUUCUUCUGGUGGUUACCCCUAAUUUACCAAGAAUCCACAAUGGGACACUGUUUUUCUGCCCUUUUUCUAAAAGUUUUAAAUGUUCAUUUCUUUCUCACAAAAAAAUGACAAAUGUAACACAACUAUAUCAAACUAUUCUUGUCAGCUGACUCCUGUCCCCAGAUAUUCUCAUAUAAUGUUGUUCACCUGGUGGGACACUAACACUGACUACCUGAUUAAAACUAUGCCUAUGUAGUCACAUGCAUCACUGAAAGCUCUA